rnacentral:rRNA from 1 species
AGAGUUUGAUUAUGGCUCAGGAUGAACGCUGGCGGCGUGCUUAACACAUGCAAGUCGAACGAAGCAACUUCUGCUGCAAGAAGUGACUAGCGGCGGACGGGUGAGUAACGCGUGGGUAACCUGCCUCAUACAGGGGGAUAACAGUUGGAAACGACUGCUAAGACCGCAUAACCCGCUAGUGUCGCAUGACACGGACGGAAAAUAUUUAUAGGUAUGAGAUGGGCCCGCGUCUGAUUAGCUAGUUGGUAAGGUAACGGCUUACCAAGGCGGCGAUCAGUAGCCGACUUGAGAGAGUGAUCGGCCACAUUGGGACUGAGACACGGCCCAAACUCCUACGGGAGGCAGCAGUGGGGAAUAUUGGACAAUGGGGGAAACCCUGAUCCAGCCGACGCCGCGUGAGUGAAGAAGUAUUUCGGUAUGUAAAGCUCUAUCAGCAGGGAAGAUAAUGACAGUACCUGACUAAGAAGCCCCGGCUAACUACGUGCCAGCCGCGGC